AACACCUGAUAUGUACAAAUGCAAUGAUAUGCAACCUAAAUGUGCCUAAAUGAUGCUCUAAAUGACCAAAACAUGCAAGAAUAAGAAGUUAAAAACAUGUAAAUUCACAAGAUAUCAAGUAUAGAAUCUUUUUAGUUGCUGCUCAAGCAGCUACUGUGAAAUCUAGUUCUUGUAAAGUCAUCAUCUUUGAAAAUUGAUAUAAAGUGAUCCUGGUGUUACACGUCCCCGUAAAAAGUUGACUUAACCUUAUACUCGUGAAGCUAUCUUUGUUUAAUACCUAGCUUGAUGCAUUUCACACAUAACUUUGUUUUUCGUAUCAUUGAUGGUUCGUGGUCUCUCUAUAUUAAGUUUGAUCAUGAUCAUAUGAAUCACUGUUCGUCUGAUUUUGGUGUUUUUACACUCUGCAGACAAUUCAUAUCUGGGGGAGUUCUGAGGAUUGGAAGUAUGCAUGUAGACAUAUAUUGAAAGAUCACUCUGCAGACGUAAGCAUGAAAUUGAAGAACUUAGGCGACAGUCGCAUACAAUUUUACCUGUAGUACUACAUUUGUUCUGUUAUAACGUAAAAACAAUGAUGUCUUCUCAGGUGCGAGCUGUCACUGUCCAUGCAACGAAUAAAUACUUUGUGUCUGCAUCGCUUGACAGUUCGUGGUGCUUCUAUGAUAUGUCCUCCGGUUUAUGCUUUGCCCAGGUUCGCAAGAAGAUGGGUUUGUUCUUGUUGAUGUUUCAUCUUCAAGGUAUCAUGGAGAAAGGCUCUUCUACAGUUUGCAUCUUGAAAUGGGAAACAUAAAUAAUCAUGAACUGACGUGCGAAGAGAUAAGCCAGAGAAUGUUAUACUUGUAUUAGGAAUGUGGAAACUCGUUUAGAUGAUAAUAUGUUCUUGUUUCUUUUAGUUAUGUCAUCCAUUUCUAUUUAAUUUUUUUCAAAAUUUUUGUCUCUCGGAUCUGAUACUUUUUCUGGCGGCGGUGCUCUUACAUGUGCUGUGAGAAGGCCUCUAUGAGUCCUCUUUACUUUCAAUCGAUCUUCUGUAGUUUUAAGGUCUUCGACUGUACUGGAAGGUGAUGGAACUUCUCUCAAUGGUGAUAUGGUGUGGUUGAGCGACAGUUGGUUUCUGCCUUGUUACCAGUGAGGUCGAGGUUGUCGUCAGGGCGUGAUCUAUCCGCCUGUGGACGAUGGUGAAUCUAACUGUCCGGUGGGGUUUGAGUCCGGCUCGGUGGUUCCGCGUCCAGCGGGGUCUCUGUUUUCAUCACUUAGUUGAAUUUGUCUUUGAUUGGCAUAUCCUGCAUCAAUGUUGAAGAACUGGGUGCAGGGACCAGUCGCUUGUCGCAGUUCCAGUCUUUUCUCAGAUUGGGCUUCUUAGUUUUAUGUGUUCUGCAAAUUUAGUAUAUUUGCAUUAUAGUAGAGUUAUUUUAGUCAUGAUAGUAACUCACUUUGAUCAAAAAAAAAGAUGGUAACUCACUUAUUCAUUAUGUGUUCUACAAUUUUAGUACAUAUGUAGAAACAGUUUCCCUUAAUCGACUUAUAAGGUACACUAAUUGUGGUUCUUGUGCUAAUAUCUUGUUCUUUCUCAGUUCACUUCUGGCUUUUCAUAUUUUUGAUUUCUUUUAGAAAAAGAAUGUUAUCGGCAUUGCUAAGUUAGAUGUUGUCUCCUAAAAUGUGGAAGAAAAGUGAGAAUCAGUUCAGGGUGCAAAGACAGAAGAACAUACCGCAAGAUCUGAAUCUCGGAGACUGUGGGUUUAUACACUUUGAAGUAUAUUGACUGUUUAACGGCUUGAACGACGAUAUUAUUCCAGUUCUACAUCUGCAGAUGGCUGUAGAAAUCUACGAGGAGGUUCCUUAAGUUUGCUAAGUAGUAUGUAUGUUGUUUUUAAAACUGCUUAUGUAGGUUUUUGUUGCUUUUUUAUAUUGGAUGUACAAGUAUUCCAGUACGCAAGCUGAUGUUCUUUUAGUUGGAUUAUUGUAUACCGUGAGUGCUGUUACUCCAACUCUUAUAAUUUCAUCAAGAAUCUCAUACAAAUUUUUUUAUUUACUUUGCCUCUAGUAACACUAUUUAUAGAAGCAUAUUUGUAGUGACAAAAUAAUUGUGGACUAAGUUAAAUCCAGACCUUAUGCGCUACGUGAGACAAUUCUAAAUAUAUACAUAUACACAAAAAGACGUCAAACGAAAGAACUUAGAGCGGUUGAUACUUCAUAAUUUGAUACCUAAUUUUGAUCUUAAUUAACCUAAAAAUAAACCAAAUUCAAAAUUAAUGUAAACCCGGUUGAAAUUGAAUAUUAAAUUAAGUUUGGUUUAUAUAAACCCAGAUUUCUGUCAAUAAAUCUGUCACAACAUAAAUUAAAAGUCUGCCACCAUAUAAAAUAAAAAGUCUGCCAACACUUUUAAAUCAGACAUAUAACUCUGUCAUAAGAAAAUAAGUCUAACAGAAAAAAAAUAAAUCGGUACAUAAAAAAAAUAAAUCGCCCACAAAAAUCUAUCAUUUAUAACAAAUCUGCUACCUGUCACUAGACAUAUCUUAGUGACAGUAUCUUUAAAAAUCUGUUAUCCAUUUAAAUCGGAUAAUUAACUCUGUAGUGAAAACAAAUCUGACGUUUCUAAAAAUAUCUUACACCAAAUUUCCAAAAAAAAAACGCUCUGGGAGAUGGCGAUAGAAUAAGCGAUCUAGGGUUUCACGCUCUUGAUGCCUUCUCACCGAUGGGAUCCAGGAAUUGACGGCGGGGUUGUGUUAGGAAAGAGGAAUCAUAAAGGGCGGAGUAAAGGAAUUUCAUUCAGGGGAUCUUCUUCAAAUCUCCGAUGUUGUGGAUCGGGUACAGGAAAUUGGUUAAACGGAUUUUUUGGAAAUCAAGGACAUCUGCGAAAUGGAUCUCGAUAUUGGCAAUUAUACCGGUGAAUUCGCAUGAUUACUCAGAUAUGGAGAUUGGUGAUUUGCGGUGGCUUAACAGGGACUGGGGGCUUGGAGUGGUUAACAGGGAAAUGGGUUCUCUGGUUGGUCUCAUUAAACCAACCACAGAAAACAGAGUUAAUCAUAGAAACGGACCUUCAGGGGAAUCACAUUUUGGCUGGAGCUGAUGUAAGGAGGCUUAUCUGGCACGUCUAGGAGUUCGGCGUUUUUUCUAGAAUUGCAUCACUGCUGCUCGUUUUUCUUAAAAAUACAAAUUCAAGGAGCCAAGGAUCUUUGGAAGGGAUAUGUGGCGUGGAAAGGAGAGAGAGAGCUCACGUUUUUUUAUUCUAGUUUUGUUAGCAAAUGAUCGUGUUGGUGAUAUUGGGUUGAGUAUGUUUAUGUUUUCGGGGUAUUGGAGUUAUAUAGGAGACGCUUUCAUUUUUCUUGUGUGUAUGUUACCGUUUUAUAUAGAUUGGGGCAAGGAGAUGGAUGUAUUUUUCAGGGUCUUUGUUGGGAUAUGGGAAUCUUUGGAUUGGAGGGUACGUAACAUAUACGUAAGGAAUGGAACUUCUCACCCAUGUUGAUAGCUCAGAGGGAGGAAUUUUCUUUUCUAUUACAAGUAGUUAUAUUUUCUGCA